UACGUAGGGGGCAAGCGUUGUCCGGAAUUACUGGGCGUAAAGCGUGCGCAGGCGGUUUUGUAAGUCUGACGUGAAAUCCCCGGGCUUAACCUGGGAAUUGCGUUGGAGACUGCACGGCUAGAGUGUGUCAGAGGGGGGUAGAAUUCCACGUGUGAGCAGUGAAAUGCGUAGAGAUGUGGAGGAAUACCGAUGGCGAAGGCAGCCCCCUGGGAUAACACUGACGCUCAUGCACGAAAGCGUGGGGAGCAAACAGG
rnacentral:rRNA from 1 species